GCUUGCACUGGUUGGAUUAGUGGCGAACGGGUGAGUAAUACGUGAGUAACCUGCCUUUGACUCUGGGAUAAGCCUGGGAAACUGGGUCUAAUACCGGAUAUGACAAGGAACCGCAUGGUUUUUUGUGGAAAGGGUUUGUACUGGUUUUAGAUGGGCUCACGGCCUAUCAGCUUGUUGGUGAGGUAAUGGCUCACCAAGGCGACGACGGGUAGCCGGCCUGAGAGGGUGACCGGCCACACUGGGACUGAGACACGGCCCAGACUCCUACGGGAGGCAGCAGUGGGGAAUAUUGCACAAUGGGCGCAAGCCUGAUGCAGCGACGCCGCGUGAGGGAUGACGGCCUUCGGGUUGUAAACCUCUUUCAGCAGGGAAGAAGCGAAAGUGACGGUACCUGCAGAAGAAGCGCCGGCUAACUACGUGCCAGCAGCCGCGGUAAUACGUAGGGCGCGAGCGUUGUCCGGAAUUAUUGGGCGUAAAGAGCUUGUAGGCGGUUUGUUGCGUCUGCUGUGAAAGACCGGGGCUUAACCCCGGUAUUGCAGUGGGUACGGGCAGACUAGAGUGCAGUAGGGGAGACUGGAAUUCCUGGUGUAGCGGUGAAAUGCGCAGAUAUCAGGAGGAACACCGAUGGCGAAGGCAGGUCUCUGGGCUGUAACUGACGCUGAGAAGCGAAAGCAUGGGGAGCGAACAGGAUUAGAUACCCUGGUAGUCCAUGCCGUAAACGUUGGGCACUAGGUGUGGGGGACAUUCCACGUUUUCCGCGCCGUAGCUAACGCAUUAAGUGCCCCGCCUGGGGAGUACGGCCGCAAGGCUAAAACUCAAAGGAAUUGACGGGGGCCCGCACAAGCGGCGGAGCAUGCGGAUUAAUUCGAUGCAACGCGAAGAACCUUACCAAGGCUUGACAUAUACUGGACCGCCUCAGAGAUGGGGUUUCCCUUCGGGGCUGGUAUACAGGUGGUGCAUGGUKGUCGUCAGCUCGUGUCGUGAGAUGUUGGGUUAAGUCCCGCAACGAGCGCAACCCUC
rnacentral:rRNA from 1 species